rnacentral:rRNA from 1 species
UACGAAGGGGGCUAGCGUUGCUCGGAAUCACUGGGCGUAAAGCGCACGUAGGCGGCUUUCUAAGUCAGGGGUGAAAUCCUGGAGCUCAACUCCAGAACUGCCUUUGAUACUGGAGAGCUUGAGUCCGGAAGAGGUGAGUGGAACUCCGAGUGUAGAGGUGAAAUUCGUAGAUAUUCGCAAGAACACCAGUGGCGAAGGCGGGUAGCUGGGCCGACACUGACGCUGAUGCGCGAAAGCCAGGGGAGCGAACGGG